CCUUUGCCGGUGAGUCGCGUGCCGUCCCACGAGUCGUGCUGCCUCCCAGAGUCCCGGUUCACCCCUCCCACGCGCCGCACCCAAUCCCCUCCUCCCGCACGCCUCGCACCUAAUCGCCUCCAUGAACCCUAGCCCCCAAUGGAUGGGACGCCACACCCUCACUCCUCCCCAGCAGCCUCCAAACCCCCCGCCUCCACUGGAUCCAAGGCGUGCGGCCACGGAGGCGAGCCUCUCCGGCGACGGCGGCAACCUGCAGGCAGAGAAGAUGGGAGAGAGGGAGAGAAGGAAUGAGAGGAGGGAGGUCCGACGGCGGACAGGAGAGGGUCAGCGGCCUGUGCCGGCGAGGUCAGGUGUGACCUGGCAGACCUGGCAAUUGAUGGCGGCCACUCCUGGAUCCUUCUUCCACUUCCCCACUGCCUACCACCAAGCACGGGUCAGGGAGCAUGGGAUUGACGACGGCGGUCGAAAGCCAGGAUGGUUGGCUGAGGAAGAGGGUGAGGACUUGAGGAUUGAAGAGGGUUGCUAUGGAGACUGUUCUUUGCAAGGGUAAAGCAUCAUCAGCACUGGUGGUGGUUGGAUCAUUAGAUGAUUCCCAGUAACUAGGUAUGUCUUCUUAACCAGGUGGACAUUUCCCCAGAUUGGCUCCUCCACAUGUUUCAGACUGACAAAUCAUGACAAUCCUCUUCUUAAAGUACAAAAUGAUGUAGCUAUCUCCACAUGCUUUGAUGAUAUCUUUUUCGUAUGGUUGGAUGGUUCCUUAUCACCGUGAUUCAUAUAAAACUUUGUGAAUUGUAGUGUCAUGAUGAUUUCAUAAGACACGAGGCUUUAAUGUACUUUUUGUUUGGAAAGCACAUAAAUGUGAAGAAUCAAUGGUGAAAAUAAGUAAAACACUCUCUAUAUGUUUCCAUUGACAUGAUCAGUGGCUCCAUUUUCUUUGGUAGUAAUGCUAGGCUACAGGUUAAUAUAUUUUACCAUGCCCAGCUGUUUUUUCUCAGUUUCUCCUCUAAAACAUAGACAUCAUUUUCAUUCGGAUUUCAUCCUUAUUAGUUUUAUUUUAUAUGCAUUGAAUAUAACUAUGCAAGUAUAGGUACAAGCAUUGCCAUGACAUACAUCCCAUUUUGAGUUUUAUUCAGUCCUCUGUCAUUGUUAUUGCGAUCUUAUUUUGCCUUUGUAAAAAUGGGGUAUAUGUCAUGGUUGUUUAACAGAAGGGAGGUGCAUAAGAACAGAUUUGGUGUUCAUCCGCAAUGUGAGUGCUUUCUGCAACUCCAUUUUGUCGAUAUUUUCUGUGAGACAUGAACACCAAAUCUAUUUAUCUAACAUGUUUUGCAUGUUUUGUCGAGUGCUUUCCUGUGUUUUUAUCUAUGGUCUUUUUUAUCAUAUCUAAUAUCCAGCAUUAUACCAUGUCUCACAGAAUUGCUGAUUCUGCACAUACACCUACUUAUUUUACUUCUGUUUAUUUUAAUGUCGUUUAGAAACAUUCUACAUCUCAAUUAUGACUGAUUGUAUUUAUUUCUGAACCUCGGCACUUACAAAAUGCAAGGAUGAUGAGAAAUGAUUGUGCUACUUCUAUCAUCUUCAGCUCUUUGUGCAUCUCAGGGUCGAAGUGUUAGUGGAGAUCGAAGUUCCAAGGAGGCCGCUCGUGAGACGGCUGGGCUUCCUUCAAUACCGGUGAUAACCAGGAGCUGACAUGCGGUACAAUUUUUCUCUGGGUUGCAGGAUAGGCGAGGCGAUGAUCCAAAAAAUUGGAAAGAAUGGUGCUCCCAUGUUCUCUCUUAUCCAGGAAAAUCAAUACAGCAAAAUGUGUGUUUAAUAAACCUUGCAUUGCUGCAAAAAUUAAUAUUAUGUUUGUGAAUCUAAUGCCAUGGUGGAUAUCAUGAAGAAGAGGGACAUGUUUGUUGCAUUUGAAGGUGUACUUAUGAGUGCAAGGGAGCCUCGAGGAUUUGGGUUUGUCCAGUACUUCAAUCCUGAUGAUGCUGCAGAUAGAAAAUACUACAUGGACGGACAGGUUAUUUGUGGCAAACAAGUAACAGUUUUAUUUGCAUAACAGAACAAAAAGAAGCCUGCUAAGGGGUGUCCCGCGGCAGAUGCGCGCCCAAUGACGCUGUGGAGCUGUCAACUCCCACCCAGAUCGCCACAGAGAACAGUGAAGCAUCCUCCCUUCUCCCUUCCGGUUGCAUCUCCGCUGGUGACUUCUUGCAGGCUUGUCUUAGUGACACAGGCAUGCUGAAGCAAAGGUCCUUUUCCUUCUUUGCAUCCCUCAUUCUCUGUUUUUUCUCACAAUGAAGCACCUUGCUGCUCCACGGCAUUCAACCCAUGAUGGUGUGACUACAGGUGGAUUACAACAUCUUUACCUGAUAAACAUGGAAUAUACAAGAGGAAGGAGCAACUGCAGCAAGCAGUGAUGCUUCAGGCGCUGAUGUGAGGAUUACUGCAUUUGAGAGCAGAGGAAGACAAGCGUAAAACUAUCAUGUUCGCUUCCGCCAUUCAUGCCGAGCGGGAUGCGUGGCAGAGGGGAUUUCUUUUCCGCGAAAACCGGAAGAGAGGAUAUUGAAGCCACCUUUGCCAACAUAGAUGAAGAUGGGAGGAUUGGCCAACUUUGGACUCCAACGGCAGCGAUGAUGAUGAAGACUUGAGCUAUGACUAUGAGUCCGAGUAGUAGAAGAAUCAUUUAUGUUUUUGUGCUUUGUCGACAGGGAUUAGAUUUGUUACAAAUAGAACUCUAUGCUACCAAAUUUUAAUGUGCAUAUACUUUUCAUUGUAGACAGCAAGCCCCUGUUUUUCCAGGAGAUUAAAUUUGUUGUCAUAUGUGCUUGCCUGUAACUAAGCAACUAAACCAUGGAUUACUUUUCAUCGCUAA